rnacentral:rRNA from 1 species
UUGAACGCUGGCGGCAUGCCUUACACAUGCAAGUCGAACGGCAGCACGGGAGCAAUCCUGGUGGCGAGUGGCGAACGGGUGAGUAAUAUAUCGGAACGUGCCCAGUCGUGGGGGAUAACGCAGCGAAAGCUGUGCUAAUACCGCAUACGAUCUCUGGAUGAAAGCGGGGGAUCGCAAGACCUCGCGCGAUUGGAGCGGCCGAUAUCAGAUUAGCUAGUUGGUGGGGUAAAAGCCCACCAAGGCGACGAUCUGUAGCUGGUCUGAGAGGACGACCAGCCACACUGGAACUGAGACACGGUCCAGACUCCUACGGGAGGCAGCAGUGGGGAAUUUUGGACAAUGGGCGCAAGCCUGAUCCAGCAAUGCCGCGUGCAGGAUGAAGGCCUUCGGGUUGUAAACUGCUUUUGUACGGAGCGAAAAGGCCUCUCCUAAUACGAGAGGUUCAUGACGGUACCGUAAGAAUAAGCACCGGCUAACUACGU